AGCGAGACCUUCGGGUCUAGCGGCGGACGGGUUAGUAACGCGUGGGAACGUGCCCUUUACUACGGAAUAGUCCCGGGAAACUGGGUUUAAUACCGUAUACGCCCUUCGGGGGAAAGAUUUAUCGGUAAAGGAUCGGCCCGCGUUAGAUUAGAUAGUUGGUGGGGUAAUGGCCUACCAAGUCUACGAUCUAUAGCUGGUUUGAGAGGAUGAUCAGCAACACUGGGACUGAGACACGGCCCAGACUCCUACGGGAGGCAGCAGUGGGGAAUCUUAGACAAUGGGCGCAAGCCUGAUCUAGCCAUGCCGCGUGAGUGACGAAGGCCUUAGGGUCGUAAAGCUCUUUCGCCAGGGAUGAUAAUGACAGUACCUGGUAAAGAAACCCCGGCUAACUCCGUGCCAGCAGCCGCGGUAAUACGGAGGGGGUUAGCGUUGUUCGGAAUUACUGGGCGUAAAGCGCACGUAGGCGGACUGGAAAGUUGGGGGUGAAAUCCCGGGGCUCAACCUCGGAACUGCCUCCAACUACU
rnacentral:rRNA from 1 species